UACGUGAGGGGGCGAGCGUUGUCCGGAAUUAUUGGGCGUAAAGGAGCUCGUAGGCGGUCUGUCGCGUCGGAUGUGAAAGCCCGGGGCUUAAACCCCGGGUCUGCAUUCGAUACGGGCAGACUAGAGUGUGGUAGGGGAGGAUCGGAAUUCCUGGUGUAGCGGUGAAAUGCGCAGAUAUCAGGAGGAACACCGGUGGCGAAGGCGGAUCUCUGGGCCAUUACUGACGCUGAGGAGCGAAAGCGUGGGGAGCGAACAGG
rnacentral:rRNA from 1 species